AUGAAACAGUCGCGAGGCUGUCAAACCAGUCCGCUCUGCAAAAGUAGUACCGCAUAUAUACUUGGUGCUUUGUUCACACCGUUAUGUCUUUUUCUAGCUCCUACCAAGUGCUUUAAAUUUAAAUAUACUCACAUUAUUUUCUCUACUGGAUUGUUUUAUAACCUUCAUAUUUAACUAGGUAUGCAGGAACCCAUACUUCUGCAUCGCUCGACUAAGAUAACCAAAGUUCCUCCCCGAGACGGCUACAAUUGGUGCGAUCAUUGUUACUGCUAAGAAACAUUGAUAUGGGUUUAAAUCCUGAAAUUUGUGAUCCAAUAGUACUGGAAUUGAGAAGUAGUGCCGCAGUAGUCUAGGUCAGCACCGGCGACAACCUAUGAGAACCUACGACCUCCUGGAGACCCACUACCACUGCACCUAUGGCACGAGAUUCUCGCUACUCUCCACCCGCUACCCAUCAAUGAAGCCGUGACUAGAUCCAAGAAUGCGGGAACGACUCACGACCAUGAAGGCUACUGCCAUUUUGAACUAUAAAAACGUCGCAGCCACGCAUCUAUUUGCCGGCUGCGCCUGCGCAGUUGGGGGAGGGUUGCCGCGACUCACGUCACAACGGGGAUCUCUGGCGUCACAACGGGAACCCAUCAGCCAUGCCUGCAGUUUGGGGCUAUGGGUCAGUGGUGGAAUAUUGCCUUGGGGGACAGGCCCAAUGGGUCUGCACCUGGUCUAGUUCUUAUUAAAAAGCACAUGUUCUUUUUAACAACC